rnacentral:rRNA from 1 species
UACAGAGGUGGCAAGCGUUGUUCGGAAUUACUGGGCGUAAAGGGCGCGUAGGCGGCCUUCUAAGUCAGACGUGAAAUCCCCAGGCUUAACUUGGGAACUGCGUCUGAUACUGGAUGGCUUGAGUUCGGGAGAGGGAUGCGGAAUUCCAGGUGUAGCGGUGAAAUGCGUAGAUAUCUGGAGGAACACCGGUGGCGAAGGCGGCAUCCUGGACCGACACUGACGCUGAGGAGCGAAAGCCAGGGGAGCAAACGGG